GUAUAAGAGACAGGUGAGUCAUCGAAUCUUUGAACGCACAUUGCGCCCCCUGGUAUUCCGGGGGGCAUGCCCGUUCGAGCGUCAUUACACCACUCCAGCCUCGCUGGGUAUUGGGUGUCUCGCGGAGGAGCAAUCUCCCGCGCGCCUCAAAGUCUCCGGCUGAGCGGUUCCGUCUUCGCAGCGUUGUGGCAUCACGUCUCGCUAUGAAUUCGGUCCCUCACGGCCGUUAAAUCACUUAACAGGUUGACCUCGGAUCGGGUAGGGAUACCCGCUGAACUUAAGCAUAUCAAUAAGCGGAGG
rnacentral:misc_RNA from 1 species